AAAUAUAUUAAAAAAAAUGGAUUAUAGCUACCUUUACUUGAAACUUUAAACAGGGACAGAAACCAAACAAACACAAGAGGCUAACAGGAAGUGGGAGCCACUAAGGGCCUGGUGGAGAGACCUGCUAUUGAAAAGAACACCUGCAUGAGGGCCCACCAAACAAAAGACCCUCCUCACUGCUUUUAUAGUACCUAAACGGUGCCAGCUCGUGAUGGGAAGGGUGUCAAAGCGAUCCGAUUGGUGGAAAGAGAAAAGAUAGAUGGAUGAAUCGCGGCGAGGGGAGAGAGAAGAGGGCGCGCGGAAGAUGGGAGCAGACAGUAGUGAGGGAGUGUAGUUCGCUAUCGCGUCGGUAGAGGGUGCCAGAGGACGCGCCUCUGCCACGUCACGCGUUCCAGGAUUCAUUUCACUUCUUCAGCGCUUCAAGCGCACAGGCUUUGACUUCAGCGCAAAGGAUGCAGCGCGUCAAAGGAAACACAUCCAUCAAAGAUUUGCUGGACCUUUUUAUCAAUCAUGGUCUUGCUUUAUUAAGUAUACACACAGCAUCACACUGAGAGGACCAAUACACACGCAGACCAUCAUUCCUGAUUGGCAAACCCAACGCCAGAGCCUUUCUUUUGUGCUUGG